UGGGGAAUAUUGGACAAUGGGCGAAAGCCUGAUCCAGCCAUGCCGCAUGAGUGAAGAAGGCCUUUGGGUUGUAAAGCUCUUUUAGUGAGGAAGAUAAUGACGGUACUCACAGAAGAAGUCCUGGCUAACUCCGUGCCAGCAGCCGCGGUAAUACGGAGAGGGCUAGCGUUAUUCGGAAUUAUUGGGCGUAAAGGGCGCGUAGGCUGGUUAAUAAGUUAAAAGUGAAAUCCCGAGGCUUAACCUUGGAAUUGCUUUUAAAACUAUUAAUCUAGAGAUUGAAAGAGGAUAGAGGAAUUCCUGAUGUAGAGGUAAAAUUCGUAAAUAUUAGGAGGAACACCAGUGGCGAAGGCGACCACCUGGACUAAUACUGACACUGAGGUGCGAAAGCGUGGGGAGCAAACA
rnacentral:rRNA from 1 species